rnacentral:tRNA from 1 species
GCGGAAGUGGCGGAAUUGGCAGACGCGCUAGUUUGAGGGGCUAGUCCCGCUAAUCCGGGGUGGGGGUUCGAGUCCCCCCUUCCGCACCA